GGGGCCUUAGCUCAGUUGGUAGAGCACCGCCUUUGCAAGGCGGGUGUCAGGGGUUCGAUUCCCCUAGGCUCCA
rfam:Mycobacterium angelicum strain DSM 45057 NODE_8_length_152361_cov_20.9265_ID_26339, whole genome shotgun sequence.